rnacentral:rRNA from 1 species
GGCUUAAUACAUGCAAGUCGAGGGGGCAGCAAUGUCACCGGCGAACGGGUGCGUAACGCGUAUGCAACCUACCCACAUCAGGGGGAUAGCCCUAGGAAACUGGGAUUAACACCGCAUAAUAUAUGACAAGGCAUCUUGUUAUAUUGAAAUAUUUAUAGGAUGUAGAUGGGCAUGCGUAGGAUUAGCUAGUUGGUAAGGUAACGGCUUACCAAGGCUACGAUCCUUAGGGGCUCUGAGAGGAGUAUCCCCCACACUGGCACUGAGAUACGGGCCAGACUCCUACGGGAGGCAGCAGUAGGGAAUAUUGGGCAAUGGAGGCAACUCUGACCCAGCCAUGCCGCGUGCAGGAAGACGGUCCUCUGGAUUGUAAACUGC